rnacentral:rRNA from 1 species
AUACGGAGGAUGCGAGCGUUAUCCGGAUUUAUUGGGUUUAAAGGGUGCGUAGGCGGACGAUUAAGUCAGCUGUGAAAUGCCCGCGCUUAACGCGGGAAGUGCAGUUGAUACUGGUUGUCUGGAGUGCCGUUGCCGUGGGGGGAAUGUGUAGUGUAGCGGUGAAAUGCAUAGAUAUUACACAGAACGCCGAUUGUGAAGACACCUCACGAAGCGGUAACUGACGCUGAGGCACGAAAGCGUGGGGAUCGAACAGGAUUAGAUACCCUGGUAGUCCACGCAGUAAACGAUGAUGACUAACCGUCGGCGAUAGACCGUCGGUGGCCAAGCGAAAGCGAUAAGUCAUCCACCUGGGGAGUACGACCGCAAGGUUGAAACUCAAAGGAAUUGACGGGG